rnacentral:rRNA from 1 species
AGUGAACGCUGGCGGUAGGCCUAACACAUGCAAGUCGAACGGCAGCACAGGAGAGCUUGCUCUCUGGGUGGCGAGUGGCGGACGGGUGAGGAAUGCAUCGGAAUCUACUCUGUCGUGGGGGAUAACGUAGGGAAACUUACGCUAAUACCGCAUACGACCUACGGGUGAAAGCAGGGGACCUUCGGGCCUUGCGCGGUUGAAUGAGCCGAUGUCGGAUUAGCUAGUUGGCGGGGUAAAGGCCCACCAAGGCGACGAUCCGUAGCUGGUCUGAGAGGAUGAUCAGCCACACUGGAACUGAGACACGGUCCAGACUCCUACGGGAGGCAGCAGUGGGGAAUAUUGGACAAUGGGCGCAAGCCUGAUCCAGCCAUACCGCGUGGGUGAAGAAGGCCUUCGGGUUGUAAAGCCCUUUUGUUGGGAAAGAAAUCCAGCUGGCUAAUACCCGGUUGGGAUGACGGUACCCAAAGAAUAAGCACCGGCUAACUUCGUGCCAGCAGCCGCCGUAA